rnacentral:rRNA from 1 species
AUUGAACGCUGGCGGCAGGCUUAACACAUGCAAGUCGAGCGGGGUGAUGGUGCUUGCACUAUCACUUAGCGGCGGACGGGUGAGUAAUGCUUAGGAAUCUGCCUAUUAGUGGGGGACAACAUCACGAAAGGGAUGCUAAUACCGCAUACGUCCUACGGGAGAAAGCAGGGGAUCACUUGUGACCUUGCGCUAAUCGAUGAGCCUAAGUCGGAUUAGCUAGUUGGUGGGGUAAAGGCCUACCAAGGCGACGAUCUGUAGCGGGUCUGAGAGGAUGAUCCGCCACACUGGGACUGAGACACGGCCCAGACUCCUACGGGAGGCAGCAGUGGGGAAUAUUGGACAAUGGGGGGAACCCUGAUCCAGCCAUGCCGCGUGUGUGAAGAAGGCCUUAUGGUUGUAAAGCACUUUAAGCGAGGAGGAGGCUCUUUUGGUUAAUACCCAAGAUGAGUGGACGUUACUCGCAGAAUAAGCACCGGCUAACUCUGUGCCAGCCGCCGCAGUAA